AGACGACAGUGGUGGUAGUAACAAUUACAAUUAUAAUAAUAUGGCUACCAUAUAUUGAGUAUUUACUAUAUGCCAGGCACUGUGCUAAUGCUCACAACAGCCCUAAGAGGCAUUAUCUUUACACAACAGUGGAAUAAACUGAAGCUCAGAGAAGUUGACACAGCAACAUGGCUAAUAAGUGGCAAAGCUGGGAUUUGAACCCAGAUCGUUGUUGAUGUUCUCCAGCACCUCACCCUGACUAUACUCUUGCAGGCUGGUGAAAGCAACCAGGGCACCCCUACUCCCAGGAGUGAAAGCAGUGGCUAUAUUUCUCUUUCCAAUACUGUGUGGGCUCUACUCGGACAGGGGUGGUGGCUGGACUUGGGCAAAUAUCCCACACUCCCUGACACUCACUCCAAGGGUGCUGUGAUGGUGGACCGGGGCUAGAGACCCCAGGCUGCUGGGGACAGCUCCUCCCUUCUACCUGGGACUUUGUGCCUCUCCUGGGAAUAGCAGCUGAUACUCCCCAGAACACGCUGGAAGGUCAGUGCCCUCGUGAGAUAAGGAUUCCUUGCUAUAGGACUCCUCUCUCUCCUAGCCAUGUUGGCCUCAGAAAGUCCCCAGAACCUCUUCCCCUGCCACUCAGGCUUAUGGUGGGAGGAGGAAGUAUGAAAAGUCCCCUCCACUGAAAGGCCAGAAGGAAACGCAGCGCUCCCAAGGGAGAGGUGACUGGGGAAAGGCCUUGGGGAGAGAAGUGAGAAACUGGAGAAGGGCUGGGGAUUCACUGGGAAGGACUGAGCACCACUUGGGACCCUGGCUCCACGUGUAAACCAUUGCUGGAGUGUCCCCCUCCUUGGCCAUGGCACAGGUCACCCCAGCCUCUGGGGCCAAGGCGCAAGACCUGUCGGAGAACAGCCAGGCAAAAGCACAGAGAAUUUUGCUCUCUGACUACCGCUGCCGCCGCCAGUUCCCUCACAGCCCCCUUGGGGGAUUUCCCUGCUGAAGCCAGCAGAAAGCCCAGCAGUCCCAGCGCCCCUCCUGCCACCGUCAGAGCUGCACUGAUGCC
rnacentral:lncRNA from 10 species